ACGAGAAAAAAUAUUUAGACCAAAUUAAUAACUGAACAAUAACUGGUUAAAUAAGAGAUUAAAAGUAAGAGAGAGAGAAUGUCUUGACUCGUUUUAUUAUAUGCUCUACUUUAUAUGCCUCAGGACAGACCAUUGGACCUGCUUUAAGGAUUCUCACCUGAUCAAGAGCCCUUGGGUUGCAUUUCUGUACUGGGGAGACAGGAGACCCAUAAUGGACACACCUGAGCUGACUAAGCAUUGUUUCGUGGUGGCGAGCUCGUGAUUGCGUCUGUGUGUUGGAAGCACAGAGACCAAUAAUGGAUAGCCCCGAGCUGAUUAAAGCAUCUUCCAUGGCCAUGAUCUCCUGGUUGCCUCUAACGUGAGUAAUAGUUAAAAUCCUUUUCUCAUUUCCCGGUGUUUUUGUAAAGGUGAUUCACUUUAUUGUUAGGAUGUGUGAAAGACAAUUUAAAAUGGCAGCCGUAUCUCAGUGAUAAAUAUGGAACAUAUGAAACAUUGAUUAAUCCAUGUGUAGAAAACUGAGGGUAAUCAAUAAAAGAGAUACAUUGAUGUGGGUUAGGGGAUACAGAGCCUCUCCUAUCGUAUUGGUUAUCAUAGCAUUUAGAAACUACUAAAGAGGUCAUGUUUUGAUCAAUCAAUAAAAGAAAUGGAUGAAGAAAAAGAGGGACAACAUUGGAUCGAUGAUGACCACUGGUGGCGUAUGAGCCUUAUGCGAUGAAUACCUGUCUGGAGGAACUCUGAGGUCCAACACAAGAGAUGUGGUCCUUCUCUUCAUGCAUUUUCAUUGUUUGCAUUGGAUGAUCGAAAUGCAAUUACAAUGACAAUUGGAUGAUCGAAACAUCCGUGUGGAAAUACAUAUUUCAAAAAGCUGAAUUGUAGAAGGCUUGUUCAAUUUAAAAAAUAUGUGGGAGGCAAGAAAUACUAUUAAUAUAUUUUGAAACACUGAGGUCCAAAGAGAAAUAAAUGGUACAUGAAUGUAAGCUCUUUGGAGAACAAAUUAUAACAAUGUUUAUGUUCUGGGUCAGUGGGAAGUUCAAAGUAGUUCGUUUUCUUAAGAGGAAAAUGAAAUAGACUCCAAAUAAUGAUUGCCUAAAUGCCUGCCUAAAUGAAAGAUGUAAAUCAAGGGUAAAUGGAAGAAUGUCUCAUUUUUCAUCAUCUGCUCUGCUCCGUACUCCUCAGAAUGGAUGCACUCAAGCUGAUCGUAACAUUCCUCCAAGGUCGUGAGCCCUCAGGUUGCAUCUAUGUUGUAGGAGCAUGGAGAACACGUGAGUAAUAGAGUUCUUGUCUUGGGUUUGAGUGGCUCGUUUAAGGUUAUUUACUGUAUUCUUCAAAAUAUCCAAAAGUGUUAUUGAAAAAUUUAUCAAAGAAGAUAAAAUAUGCCAAUGUU